rnacentral:lncRNA from 1 species
ACGUGAUGUAGUUUCACUGAACAAUAUUUAUAAGCAGGUUGAAGAAAAUAAUAUUUCUGGAGUCAGUACCCCAGGUGAGGUAUAAAUAAAAUUAGAAGGCUGCAUUAAUAUAUUUAUAUCACCCUAGUGAGACUGAGAUACUUUAAAUCUUAUUUUUUAUCCAGAGGACACAGAUGGUGUUGUGACAGCACAAAAUGAUGAGUGCCACACUGUUCCUCCUAAUGAUCUUCUUCUCAAUUCAUCUUGUUUUGCAGCCUUGGAUCUUUGCUGCAUGAUUGUUUUGAAAAUAGGGGGAAUCAAGUAGGGAAAGUCACAGAAGAUGCUAAAUUAUUAUUUUUUUGAUUGGUGUGUGGGUUCAGAAUGCACUAAAACAAUGUAAAUAUG